CUUUCCUUUUGUAUUUGUUUCAAAAUGUUUGUGUGGKUUUUUUUGUUUGUKUUUUCUUUUUUUAGGGAGUUCCAUAGGUUACAGCAGCAGUGAACUGGUCUACUUGGAGAAUGCCCUACUACCUGCAAAUAGGGGUUGCUUUGUCUGAGCUGGCACUUAAUGAGAAGAAGCACAACCCACCCAGCUUAAAAUUUAUUUGAUACGGAUAAGUUUUCUGUGCUUGAAGUUAAAUAUAUAGCACAGUUCAAUCAAAUGCAGAGUCGUCAUUGUUCUGGGGUUUAAAGUGUUUCUGAAGACCGAGCACUUUCCUGGGCUUUUUUUUUGUUUGUUUUUAUACAACUACUCAGUUGGUCAUUCAGAAUGUUUAAUGCACUAGCUGAAUAAUUUUAUUUGCAGAAGUCAUAGUGUGAGUCCACAGGUUUGGGAGAGCUGUGAGGAAUAUCGUGUACUGUUGAUGACCUUACAGAAAAGGCUCAAAUUUGUACCUUCUGGAAACUACUCUUUCCUGAAGCUGAUGCUUGGCAACAGAAGAUGCCCCGCUGACCCUUUGCAGCUUGGCAGAAAAUGCUCCUUAGUGUGUGAGCCUAAGCCUGUACCCUAUAUCCCAGGGUACAAAUUGCUCAGGGCUGCUGGCACAGAGUUUCUAGCUCUCUAUAGAGACCGUGUAUGAUGUAGUGUCAUCACUGCUGGUCAAGGACACCUUCAUUUUAACAUAGCCCUCCACCGUGGGAAAACUAAGCUGUCUGCUGACAGGAUCAGGCACUUUCAGGUGGAUUCAGGUCACUGGAACAUUGGGAAUGUUCUGGUAUCAGGGAAUUUAGUUCUUUAUUCUUUUGCAACCUGUCCCUCAUCCAUUCUGAAGAUAUCAAGAGUACUUCAAGGAAAUAUUAAGGCAACUUAAGGUGACUCCUUGAGCUUUAUGAAGACCAGUAUACUCUAUCUGUAGGCUUUAUAACAGGAAAAAAAAGCUGCAGCCCUCAAUAGAGCUAGCCAUGUUCAAAACUUGAAUCAGCCAUGAGGAAAAGAUAUUCUUUUAACAAGGAAACUUGUGAUGUUUUAUUUACUGAAAAUACGCAUCUGUCUAUUUCAACUCUUCUCCCUCUCCCCUAUUUUUUAAUUUGUAUCUGUAACUUCUAAAAUGGGUUGCCAAAUCUGAUGCAAUGUUUUUUGGUGUGACCAAUUGUGAAACAAAUGUAAUAGUUGAUAUCCUCAGAUACUAUGUGCUUAGGCAUCGUUAUCUGAUCCUGUAUUUCUCAUUUAAUUCCAACCUGUACCAAUGCCUUGAGUUCAAAAGCUUAAUCAGAAUUUUAAAAUGACUUUUUUCAUUUUGAAUGUGGUGACUAAUUGACUUGUCUUGAUAAACAUACUGCUUGGCUUGGGAACUGCAAAGCUGGUUGUUCAGUUAAAAGGCAGUUUAUGCCAAAUAUUAACUAGCGGCAGUAAAAUCUCAGGAAAGAAAGAUGAAUAAAUGUACUUAAACAUUCCUUGUUUCUAACA
rnacentral:lncRNA from 1 species